GACGAACGCUGGCGGCGUGCUUAACACAUGCAAGUCGAACGAUGAAGCAGAGAAACGCGCACUUCGGUUCAAAUUUCACUUCGGAUUAGUGGCAGACGGGUGAGUAACGCGCGAGCAACCUACCUCUUACAAAGGGAUAGCCUCGGGAAACCGUGAUUAAUACCAUAUGACACAUUCAUAAGGCAUCUUAAGAAUGUUAAAGCUACGGCGGUAAGAGAUGGGCUCGCGUCCCAUUAGCUAGUUGGUGAGGUAACGGCCCACCAAGGCGACGAUGGGUAACCGGCCUGAGAGGGUGAACGGUCACAUUGGAACUGAGACACGGUCCAAACUCCUACGGGAGGCAGCAGUGGGGAAUAUUGCACAAUGGAGGGAACUCUGAUGCAGCGACGCCGCGUGAGCGAUGAAGGAAUUCGUUUCGUAAAGCUCUGUUCUAUGGGAAGAAAAGGACUGUACCAUAGGAGAAAGCCCCGGCUAAAUACGUG
rnacentral:rRNA from 1 species